UACGGAGGGUGCAAGCGUUAUCCGGAUUCACUGGGUUUAAAGGGUGCGUAGGCGGCUUUUUAAGUCAGGGGUGAAAGACGGUAGCUCAACUAUCGCAGUGCCCUUGAUACUGAAGAGCUUGAAUACACUAGAGGUAGGCGGAAUGUGACAAGUAGCGGUGAAAUGCAUAGAUAUGUCACAGAACACCAAUUGCGAAGGCAGCUUACUAUGGUGUCAUUGACGCUGAGGCACGAAAGCGUGGGUAGCAAACAGG
rnacentral:rRNA from 1 species